UCAUUCACACUUCUGUCGCAGAUCGAGGAAGUUCUUCCAUCUCUGCUGCUGCUGCUGCCGCCGCGUCAUGUGCUUCCCUUCCGCACAAACACCGACCCGGGUCAUGUGACAGCGGCGCGGGACCUCUGCGCCCAGGCCAUCCCUGUCUUUGCCCAGAGAGCUGCUCCGGAAUCUGGUUGCAUUACUCAAUUUGAAUUCACAGGAUUGGGCCUUAACUGUUCCCACACAAGUGAAAAGAGCUGAAAAGGGUUCAGUGCAGCCCGUUGUGUGUGUCGUCGUGGGCAAGUCUUUCUAUGCGGGACCGGAGAGGAGAACAUGGGAAGUGCUGGUGGUUUAUUUGUGUAGAAAUAUAACCACUGAA